rnacentral:rRNA from 1 species
UACGUAGGGGGCGAGCGUUGUCCGGAAUCAUUGGGCGUAAAGCGCGUGUAGGCGGCUCGGUAAGUCUGCUGUGAAAGUCCAGGGCUCAACCCUGGAAUGCCGGUGGAUACUGUCGAGCUUGAGUCCGGAAGAGGCGAGUGGAAUUCCUGGUGUAGCGGUGAAAUGCGCAGAUAUCAGGAGGAACACCAAUGGCGAAGGCAGCCCCCUGGGCUGAGAUUGACGCUCAGGCACGAAAGCGUGGGGAGCAAACAGG